UAUUAUGAGAGUUUGAUCCUGGCUCAGGACGAACGCUGGCGGCGUGCCUAAUACAUGCAAGUCGAACGCUUCUUUCCUCCCGAGUGCUUGCACUCAAUUGGAAAGAGGAGUGGCGGACGGGUGAGUAACACG
rnacentral:rRNA from 1 species